rnacentral:rRNA from 1 species
CCUACGGGCGGCAGCAGUGGGGGAUAUUGGACAAUGGGGGGAACCCUGAUCCAGCGACGCCGCGUGAGUGAAGAAGUAUUUCGGUAUGUAAAGCUCUGUCAGCAGGGAAGAAAGAAAUGACGGUACCUGACCAUGAAGCCCCGGCUAACUACGUGCCAGCAGCCGCGGUAAUACGUAGGGGGCAAGCGUUAUCCGGAAUUACUGGGUGUAAAGGGAGCGUAGACGGUUAAGUAAGUCUGGAGUGAAAGGCCGGGGCUCAACCCCGGGACUGCUCUGGAAACUAUUUAACUUGAGUGCAGGAGAGGUUAGCGGAAUUCCUGGUGUAGCGGUGAAAUGCGUAGAUAUUAGGAAGAACGCCAGUGGCGAAGGCGGCUUACUGGACUGUAACUGACGUUGAGGCUCGAAAGCGUGGGUAGCAAACAGGAUUAGAUACCCUAGUAGUC